rnacentral:rRNA from 1 species
GAUGAACGCUAGCGGCAGGCUUAACACAUGCAAGUCGAGGGGUAUAGGUUUUCGGACCUAGAGACCGGCGCACGGGUGCGUAACGCGUAUGCAAUCUACCUUUCACAGAGGGAUAGCCCAGAGAAAUUUGGAUUAAUACCUCAUAGUAUAACAGUUUCGCAUGAAACCACUAUUAAAGUUCCAACGGUGAAAGAUGAGCAUGCGUCCCAUUAGCUAGAUGGUAAGGUAACGGCUUACCAUGGCUACGAUGGGUAGGGGUCCUGAGAGGGAGAUCCCCCACACUGGUACUGAGACACGGACCAGACUCCUACGGGAGGCAGCAGUGAGGAAUAUUGGUCAAUGGACGCAAGUCUGAACCAGCCAUGCCGCGUGCAGGAUGACGGUCCUAUGGAUUGUAAACUGCUUUUGUACGAGAAGAAACAACAUUACGUGUAAUGUCUUGACGGUAUCGUAAGAAUAAGCACCGGCUAACUACGUGCCAGCCGCCGCGGUAACAC